AUUACCCAAUUCGGACACAGGGAGGUAGUGACAAGAAAUAACAAUACGGGGCUUAAUGUCUUGUAAUUGGAAUGAUGGGAAUUUAACCUCUUCCAGAGUAUCAAUUGGAGGGCAAGUCUGGUGCCAGCAGCCGCGGUAAUUCCAGCUCCAAUAGCGUAUAUUAAAAUUGUUGCAGUUAAAAAGCUCGUAGUUGAAUUUCUGCUGCAUUGCUUUUGCUCCUUUACGAGUCUUUGCAUUGUGGCUUAUUUCGGACUUUGUUUUACAAUGUCCGGAUGUUUACUUUGAGAAAAUUAGAGUGCUCAAAGCAGGCUUUCGCCUUGAAUAGUUUAGCAUGGAAUAAUAAAGUAGGACUUUGGUUCUAUUUUGUUGGUUUUAGGUACCAAAGUAAUGGUUAAUAGGAACAGUUGGGGGCAUUCGUAUUUAA
rnacentral:rRNA from 1 species